rnacentral:lncRNA from 1 species
CCACUAUCUGAUUCUUCCUAUUACAAUGCUAAAUGCUCCCAAAUAUCCAGCAGCUUAUUAGCGCUUGACAAGGAAAAAAAAGAAGAAGAAGAAGAAAACUUUCACUUGGACAUUUUAUCGAACAGUUAACGAGCAAGGCCUGACUUCAAAACUAAUAACUAGAGAACAUGCGACUUCAAAACUAAUAACUAGAGAACAUGCGACUUCAAAACUAAUAACUAGAGAACAUGCGACUUCAAAACUGGGACAGUUUGGAUACAUUAUCACAUAUCUAAUAUCUGCCUUCUGCUGUGCCUUUCCAUGAUCAUCGAUUGCAUAUUUUUUUUAUCUUUCCAUAGCAAAGUUAGUUGCUUACCCCU